AUCUUUGCCUUGGGAACUCCAAGGCUGGCAGCCUGGAGUCUUGACUCUGGGCUUCCCAUAGCCCAUCUCUUCACCUCCGAAGAUUCCAGAACUAGACUCACUCCAUGCAGCCAAGAAAGUUGAUGCUCUUGGGUCCAUCUCAGGCCGAUCUUGACGCCACCUCUCAUGCUCUGCUGUCUUCAACCAGGCUUCUCUGUUUGAUUCUGGAAGAAGACUAAAGAUGGUAAGGACAGCCAAGAGAUCCCUAAAAAGCAUUACCUGUAAUUUUUGAGGAAGAACUGAAACUAGCUAGCAGGAGAGAUGUUUAAGUAUCUUGAUUUCGGUUAUUUGCCGAGGAAAACGCCUGAUAUUUCAUAAUCAGGGUUAAUCAUGGAGGGUGUUUUGUAAUUUCAGAUUAAUCAACACUUGGUCUGUCUAACUUCCUACAGGAGUUAAUCGGGCUGCUGCGAGGAGCACCAGAUGUUUGAAUUGGGGAAAUAGCUUCCCUCGGUCAAAGUUUUUUCACCCUGCGUUUUGGGCUUUAAAACCGUGCAAGUCACCAAAGUUCUUUUUCUUUUGUGCUUUUUCUAGCGUAGGGUGGCAUUUGAAAGAGUAUGUGGUGGCGGGGAACGUGGACUAGAGACACAGGGAAUCUGGGCUCCCAUGGUGUCAGAAAAAUCAGAACCAGACAGUAGGGUAAGCUGUAAAAACAGAUUUUGCUCCAGAACUAUUGCAGUGGGAGAAAAGAGACCUCAGUAUAGGACUGGGCUCAGUUCCAAAUACGACAUGUGCAUGUGGGGAUUUGUAACCAAGAAGUGGGGGAGGGGGUCAGUGGAUGGAAAAUUACUAAGAGGAAACAUUAGGGGUGGGGGUGGGGGCGGUUCUGGCUGAACCGACUUGACAGGAUUCUUGCCGAAAGCAGGCCAGGGAGCUGGAUGUCACCUGGGGGUGGUGGUAGGGGAGAGGGUGUUUGAUGAGACACCAAGGAUGAUCAGAUGUCAGUGGGGAGAGAUUCUUGCUAAAACUGGGCAGAUGGACACAAAAGCCCAAAGAUGGAGACCUAGAAGCUUCGAGGAGCCUGAGUCAAGUUGAGUCAAAGAGAGAGUCUUUGUCAGUCACUAGCUGCGGGGCCGUGGGCUUAUCACCCAAGCCCUAGGAAACUCGGUUCUUUUGACUACACAAUGAACGUUACACUCCCUCUCCCAUUGCCUUUGCCGGGGGCGGGGGGGAGCACGGUGAGGCUCACAUCAGCCAAUAUAUGUUCCGGUCCUUUGCAGGUAGUGUAAGUUAGUAGGCAUGCCCCCAGUUAGUCAGAACGGAGACAUGGAAAUUCUUUUGUCCCCCCAAUUUGACAGACUAGAGUGCAUUCACCAGGAACCCGCUCCGACGUCUAGAUCUGAAUGCUGGUGCCCGGGCUCAUUUGGUGUCUAAGGUCCAAUGAAGAGUUAACCGUGGGGCGCUCUGUUAACAAAGGAAACAACAGCUUCGAGUUUCAUUUCCUAGAAACUCAGCUGUCUAUUUUUAGGCAAACCCAUGCCUGCUCGCAUCUGCCUUUGCCCCUUGAGGGAUGGCAUGAUGGCGUUGAUAGUAAUAGAGGGAGCUCACAUGUGUUGACCACACAAGUUACGUGUUGUGCUAAAGACUGGAUGUCUCUAAUUCGACCUCCCCCUCAAAGCAGCCUCUUGAGGCCCCGAUGAAGGACCUGGGGUUUCCAGACGGUAAGAGCUUGUGAUCUUGGCUGGACAGCCAUACUGGAGACCCUUCUGCUCUAUAUAGACCAGGCUCGGCACACACGUCUACCCAGGAGACAGUCAGCACUGGCUUCAGGUAUCUCACUCCUUAAGAAAAGAGAAGUUGGGAUAUCUUUUUUUAAUUAUUAUUAUUGCCACAAUCCUGAGGCAUAUGGAAGUUCCUGGCUGCAGCUGCAUCCUAUAGCAAUGCCGGAUGCUUCAACGCACUGUGCCACCACAGGAACCCUGAAAUUGGGAUAUCUCUUAUAAGAAAAACCUCAUGAAGGAGUUCCCGCCAUGGCGUAGUGGGUUAAGGAUCCAGCAUUGCCGCAGCUGUGGCAUAGGUCACAGCUGCAAGCUCGGAUUGGCUCCUUGGCCCAGGAACUUGCAUAUGCUUCAGGUGAAGCCAAAAAA
rnacentral:lncRNA from 1 species